rnacentral:rRNA from 1 species
AAUCAACCGAGACCCCGUUAGUAGUGGCAAGCGAGAGCGGAUUGGGGAUUUGAAGAAAAACAAACACAAAGCUUCGUUCCUCAGCAAAGUGUUCACUUUUUUUUCGCCAUGUUUCAUUCGAUUUGUUGUGGAUUGGAUGAUGGAAAAACCAUCAAGCUACGACUUCAAAGCUUACCUUAUUUUGAAAAGGAGAAAGGGCUUAUUUUAUAGAUGUUGAGGUUGAGUAAGGGGGCGGAGCUUGAAGAGCGAAGCGAGCGACCCCCUAACCUAGGUUGGGGGAAACACUCUACAAUCUAAAACGUUGGUUAGGGUUCCAAACCUUUCUCUAAUAAUAAGGUAAGCUUUCAAGCCGCCGCCCUUUAAAGGAGGGGGCCCAGUGAACUGUAAUUGUGAACAGAUUGGAAGAUCUAGCCAAAGAAGGUGAUAUCCUUGUAGAUUCAUUCCUAUGGUUCGAUCCUUCCCAGUACAUGCGGCAUGCUCGAAUUCUGAUCGCUUUUACGCAUCAAUGACCGAUAGCGUACAAGUACCGUGAGGGAAAGGUGAAAAGAACCCUAUUUAUGGAGUGCAAUAGAGAACCUAAGAUCCGAUGCGAACAAUCAGUUGAAGGAGCAGAGCUUAGAGCCUUGACUUUAUGUAAAGAGCACUCACUCUAAUGGCGUACCUUUUGCAUGAUGGGUCAGCGAGGAAAUGGGAACAGCGGCUUAAGCCACUAGGCGUAGGCACUUUCUAGAGGUGAAAUCUUCUAGUUCUUCCUAUUUAACAUGAAACAGAUCGAUCUAUCCAUGAGCAGGUUGAAGAGAGCUCUAACAUGCCUUGGAGGACCGAACCCACGUAUGUGGAAAAAUACGGAGAUGACUUGUGGCUAGGGGUGAAAGGCCAACCAAGAUCGGAUAUUGCCGAUUUUUCCGCGAAAUCUAUUUUAGUAGAGCGUAUGAUGUCGAUGGCCCGAGGUAGAGCAUUCAAUAGGUAGGGUGGCCUCAUUUUGCCUUACCAACCUCAGGGAAACUCUGAAUACAGGCUUAGAUCGAUUGUACAGACAUACGUUUUGGGUGCUAAGAUCCAUAGUCGGGAGGGAAAUAGCCCAGAUCGUGCGCUAAGGUCCCUAAGCAAUCACUUAGUGGAAAAGGAAGUGAUUGAGCAAUGACAACCAGGAGGUGGGCUUGGAAGCAACCAUCCUUUGAAGAAAGCAUAAUAGCUCACUGGUCUAGCUCCAUGGCACCAAAAAUGUAUCAGGGCUCAAGUGAUUCAUCGAAGCGAAGAGACCUUGAAAAUUGCUUUUUAAAGUGUCAGUAGCGGAACGUUCUAUCAAUCGGGAAAGGCUUUUAGUGACAAGACCUGGAGAUAUCAGAAGUGAGAAUGCUGACAUGAGUAAUGAAAAAUCCUAUGAAAAACACGAUCGCCUGCCAGUGGAAGGUUUUCUGCGUUCAGUCAAUCUACAUAGAGUGAAUCGGUCCCUAAGGAACCCCCGAAAGGGCUGCUGUCCGAUGGGUACACGAAAGUGAUGAAGUUGCUUUGACUAUAGAACCAUGCCUGUCUGUUGGAGCGAAUUGGAUGAUCGGGCUGAGGGAUGCCCCUCUUUCCCUCACUCUCAUUUCCCUAAUAUGAACCUUGAGUCAUCAAAGCCUUUCUGACUCGGCCUGGCCCGGUCGCCCUAUGCGACUGGCGCUUCAAAAGGCGAAACUAUCGGUCCUAGUUUGGUGGCCUAUCUUCAGUAGGGGCCUUUAGUCUUUUGAUUAGAGUAGGGGUCGCGAGAGAGCAGAAUGUACCGCCCUACCAUAGUCAUGAGUCUAUUUAUAGUCGCGACUGUUGUCAUAGUUAACAAGGUUGAAACUUUCAGGAAAAAACUUCGAAUUGGGAGGGCGAUCCUCCCGAUGAAUUGAUCGUACCCCAAACUGAUACAGGUGAACAAGUAGAGUAUACUAGGGCGCUUGAGAGAACCAUGUCGAAGGAACUCGGUAAAAUGACCUCGUAACUUCGGUAGAAGGGGUGCUCUCCUAUCUUUUGAUUAGGAAAGCGGCACAUACCGGGGGUAGCGACUGUUUGUUACAAACAUAGGUCUCUGUUAAGUGGUAACACGAUGUAUAGAGUCUGACACCUGCCCGGUGCUGGAAGGUCGGAAGGAGAAGUGUUAUAAGCUUUGAAUGGAAUCCCCGGUAAACAACGGAAGUAACUCUAACUGUCCUAAGAUAGCGAAAUUCCUUGUUGCAUAAGUAGCGGCCUGCACGAAUGGUGUAAUGACUACCCCGCUAUCUCUGACAUGGACUCGGUAAAAUUGAAUUCUCUGUAAAGAUGUAGAGUACCAGCGUCUAGACGGUAAGACCCCGUGCACCUUAACUAUAGCUUCGCAGUGACAACCUUAAUCGAAUGUGUAGGAUAUGUGGGAGGUGGUGAGACACAACGACCAAUCUUGAAAGACCACUCUUUCAUCUAAGCAUGUCUAACCGCCACACCGAUCAUUCGGGGGGAGGCGGUACACUACGAGGUGGGUAGUUUAUCUAGGGCGGAUGCCUCCUAAAGAGUAACAGAGGUGUGUGAAGGUAGGCUCAAGCUAAGAUUUUUCUCGUGAGCGUAAUGGUAUAAGCCAACCUGAGUGUGAGACGGACUGGUCAAAUAGAGAUGAAAGUCAACUAUAGUGACCCGGGAGUCCCGUGUGGAUGGGCUCUCGCUCAACGGAUCAAGGGUACGCCGGGGAUAACAGGAUGAUGACUCCCAAGAGCUCUUAUCGACUGAGUCAUUUGGCAUCUCGAUGUUGACUCAUCACAUCCUGGGGUUGAAGAAGGUCCCAAGGCUCGAUUGUUCGCCGAUUAAUGUGGUACGUGAGUUGGGUUUAGAACGUUAUGAGACAGUUCGAUUCCUAUCUACCAUUGGUGUUAAAGGGAGAACUGCGAGGAGCCAUCCCUAGUACGAGAGGACUUGGUUGGGCUAACCUAUGGUGUACCGAUUAUUAUGCCAAUAGCAGCGUCGGGCAACUAAUUUGGUAUGGAAGAACUGCUGCGCCAUGGGAAAUCCUUCUCUAUACAAGUUCUCGGAUGAGGUUUUUGAACAAAGAUUCGAUAGGCGAGAGGUGUAAGCACCGCGAGCUGUGAAGCGAUCUCGUACUAAACGAAACGACUUUCACUU